AUGUGGGCUCCACCGAAGUGCAAAUUUUUUGCUUGGUUGAUCUUCCAAAAUCGUGUUUGGACAGCCGAUCGUUUACUCCGGCGAGGCUGGCCAAGCUGCAAUGUGUGCCCUCUCUGCAAGCAAGUGCAAGAAUCUGCUGCUCACCUCCUAUUUCAAUGUAGGUUCACUGUCCGGAUUUGGACCGAAAUUUUCACUUGGCUUGGCAUCCUUGACUCCUCACCAAUGAUUUGGUGUCAUGAAGACUCAGUUAGAGAUUGGUGGCUCAAGGCGGUUAAUGGUGGAGGUGGCUGCAGGAAGGCCAUCGCCUCCUUGAUGAUGCUUGUCUCGUGGGAAAUUUGGAAGGAGCGCAACGCAAGAAUUUUUCAAAAUGUCUCUCCCCCGACCUCCAUUGUUAUCGCAAAAAUCAAAGAGGAGGCCCAUCUCUGGUCUUUGGCAGGAGCCAAACAGCUCAGUACUGUUAUGUCGCGAGAGUAG
rnacentral:rRNA from 1 species